rnacentral:rRNA from 1 species
ACGGAGGAAAAGAAACUAACAGGGAUUCCCUUAGUAAGUGCGACUGAAACGGGAUCAGCCCAGCGCAUAAUCUCGUACCUUCCUUGCGAGGGUUCUCGAGAGGUGUUGCGUUUCGGAAGGUCUCAACCGCCGCCCUAACCGCCUAAGUUGCACUUGAAAGUGACCACUAACCACGGAGGGUGAUAGUCCCGUGUGGCGGAUCACGUCCCUGACAGGGGGCACAAGGGUGGCGGCGUGGACCUGUCCGUAGAGUCGGGUUGCUUGAGAGUGCAGCCCUAAGCAGGUGGUAAACUCCUUCUAAAGC